rnacentral:rRNA from 1 species
AACCCCGGUGAACUUUAAGCAUAUCAAUAAGCGGAGGAAAAGAAACUAACAAGGAUUCCCCCUAGUAACUGCGAGUGAAGCGGGAAGAGCUCAAAUUUAAAAUCUGGCGGUCUUUGGCCGUCCGAGUUGUAGUCUGGAGAAGUGCUUUCUGUGCUGGACCGUGUACAAGUCUCUUGGAACAGAGCGUCAUAGAGGGUGAGAAUCCCGUCUUUGACACGGACUACCAGUGCUUUGUGAUGCGCUCUCAAAGAGUCGAGUUGUUUGGGAAUGCAGCUCAAAAUGGGUGGUGAAUUCCAUCUAAAGCUAAAUAUUGGCGAGAGACCGAUAGCGAACAAGUACCGUGAGGGAAAGAUGAAAAGCACUUUGGAAAGAGAGUUAAACAGUACGUGAAAUUGCUGAAAGGGAAACGCUUGAAGUCAGUCGCGUCGUCUGGGACUCAGCCUUGCUUAUGCUUGGUGCACUUUCUAGAUGACGGGCCAGCAUCAAUUCUGACUGUCGGAAAAGGGCUGGGGUAAUGUGGCACCCUCCGGGGUGUGUUAUAGACCUUGGUCGCAUACGGCAGUUGGGAUUGAGGAACGCAGCGCGCCGCAAGGCAGGGGUUCGCCCACUUUUCGCGCUUGGGAUGCUGGCAUAAUGGCUUUAAACGACCCGUCUUGAAACACGGACCAAGGAGUCUAACAAACCUGCGAGUGUUUGGGUGGAAAACCCGAGUGCGCAAUGAAAGUGAAAGUUGAGACCUCUGUCGUAGAGGGCAUCGACGCCCGGACCUGACGUUUUCUGACGGAUCCGCGGUAGAGCAUGUUUGUUGGGACCCGAAAGAUGGUGAACUAUGCCUGAAUAGGGUGAAGCCAGAGGAAACUCUGGUGGAGGCUCGUAGCGAUUCUGACGUGCAAAUCGAUCGUCAAAUUUGGGUAUAGGGGCGAAAGACUAAUCGAACCCAUUCUAGUAGCUGGUUCCUGCCGAAGUUUCCCCUCAGGAAAGAA